ensembl:lincRNA
AUGCAGGAAACGGAACCCAGGCUUUCACAUAGGCCUGGAAUAAUGGACAAUGGAACCAAGGUGACCUGGAGUGCACGCCUGUUGCUUUUUGGUGACAUUAGGGGUAAACACCGCUUCCUGCCCAAGGUCACACAAGCCAGGGAGCAGGCCCAGAAUGCAGACCAGGUGGCCUGGAGGCGCAAGGCAGGAGCGGGGUCUGGAGACUGUGUCCUGCUGUCGCCCUGCCAGGCUCUGACGCGUGGAGAAGAUGCCAUCAGCAGUUACUAUGUCCCUGCACAUCGAGACCAAGAAAGAGGUGUGAGCAGGGGACCCAGGAGAGGUUCUCCACAGAACCAGACCCAGAAUUUGGCUGCCAUAUUGUCCCAGCCUGGUCUCUUUUGGGAUUGGGCCAGGAGGUGGAAUCUGCUCUAUGGAGAGGGGUGCCUUUACAUUUAAUUCUGUGGGUUUUUAAAGAUCUUGUUUGUUUGUUUGUUUGUUUGUUCCUAAUGCAAAGGCCAGAGACUUGUAGAGAAAGAAGACUUUGGCCAAUGGUAGGAGAUGCCAAUGGUGACCAACUCCUCCUUUCCACCUAGGGACAGAUUCCGGAUCUUGUCUGUGUCUCCAAGGACUUGGUAGUGGCUUUAUUUGUUUCCCAGGGCCUCAGCCUCCAGAAUGUGGGAGUACAGGUGUGAACCACCGUGCCCAGCUGGCAAUGGCUUUUAGCUCCCUUUAGAGGAAAAGUUCCAGGCAUGAGGUCACUGCUCUGGGUGACAAAGGCAGCACAAGGGUGGGAGCCCUGGGUGAGAGAGUCAGACAGCGAGAAGCUGCCACCGAAGAGGAUGCUGGGACCGUAGGGCUGGGCUGGCUCAACUGGUUCAGCCCCACCAAGAAAGGGCAAGUCAGAUCUGGCUCGGGAGGCGGGAGGGGUGGGGUGCUGACUCAGGGCCUGGUGGGUCAGGUGACAACGCAAGGACAGCUGUUGCCUGGGUGUUUUUAGAAAACUUCAGCUGCCAGCCUCUCUUGCGGGCUACUUCUGCACCUCCUCGGAAGUGGGCAGAGAAAGCAAGGGCAUCAUCUUUAAAACAGGCUCAGGGGCAGGCGGUGCUGUCUGGCCAUGCUGUGCUGACCCUAUCCGUACUGGGCCUGGAAGACAAGAGCAGAAAUUAGUCACGAGACUGCUUUAUUUUUGGUACUGGAGAUCGAACUCGGGUCCUUGUGCUCGUGAGGCAGGCGGUGAAACCACUGAGCUAAACCCCCAAAGAUUGUUUAUCUUUUCUGCUCAGGUCUUGUCAGGCACCUUGCCAAGAAUCCAUGCAGAAUUAAGAGAGCAGGCCUUGAAGUCAGGAGGGCUUGGGUUCAAAACCUAACUUUAUGGGCUGGGGAUUUAACUCAGUGGUUCUGCCGCCUGCCUUGCAAGCACCAGGUCCAGAGUUUGAUCCCUGGUACCAAAAAAAAAAAAAAAAACACCAAACCACAACCCAACUUUACCACUUAUUAUUGAUAUGAAUUGGAUCAAGUUUAAAACUUUUAAUUAUGGAAAAGUUCUAAUAUAUGCAAAUUAAAUGUAUCAGUAUAAUGAAUGUUCACAUCCUCCUUACGUGGUUGGAAUAAUUAUCAACUCCUGGCCAAGUUCCUUUCAUCGGCCUUCAUGCACCCUCCUUUCCCUGGUUAUUUUGAAGGAGGUGGCAGGCAUCAUCUCAUAUAAUCUACGUUAGCUUCUUUAACCCCACCUCCUUUCAACAUGGACCAUUAGGAGAAAAUCAUCAUAACUGACUGAAAUUAGUUUUGAUAAAAUUCUUUUUUUUUUUUGGUAGCGGGGAUUGAACUCAAGUCCUCACGCUUGCCAGGCAGGUGCCAGAACCACUGAGCUAAAUCCUCUGCCCAGAUAAAAUUCUUUUUUUAAUGUAGGAUAGGAUGUUUGGUUCUAAAUAAAUAUAGCUCUGCACCACGACUUUCAUUCCACACCCUGACUUCAAAUAAAUUCAAGAGAAAGUAAAAGGUUGAAAGGAAUGUACAUAAUAUGUAUAACGCAUAAUGUGUAUAAUGCAUUUAUUCUGUCACACUAAAAAAUAAAGUAUAACUCUAUGACUUUUUCCCUCUAAUUACAGAAAGUUAAAUAAUGUAUUACCAUGAAAAACAUUUCUAAUAAAUAGAACAUACCCAACUGCAAGGUUCCUAAUGUAUAUUUUUAAAGCACAUAUCUGCUUAGUAAACAAGUUGUCACACGAGUAAAAUUUAGUGUUUGAAACUUUGAGAGCUCUUCUCCUAUGUAUCGCCAAAUAAAGGUUAUGCUUCUGUUAAAAAAAACCUACCU